AUACUAUAUCACUCGGGGGUAUAGUAGUGUUUAUUAGAUACAGAACCAAUACACCUUUUUUAAAGGGUGUAGAAAAAGGUGAUUCAUAGUAACCGAACGGAUCGCAUUAUAAUCAUUUCUAUGAUUGGCGAUAGAUCAUUCAAGUUUCUGACCUAUCAGCUUUCGACGGUAGUGUAUUGGACUACCGUGGCAGUGACGGGUAACGGGGAAUUAGGGUUCGAUUCCGGAGAGGGAGCCUGAGAAACGGCUACCACAUCUAAGGAAGGCAGCAGGCGCGCAAAUUACCCAAUCCUGACUCAGGGAGGUAGUGACAAGAAAUAACAACACUGGAAAUUCUAUUUCUAGUGAUUGGAAUGAUGGGAAUCCAAACCCCUUUCAGAGUAACAAUUGGAGGGCAAGUCUGGUGCCAGCAGCCGCGGUAAUUCCAGCUCCAAUAGCGUAUAUUAAAGUUGUUGCAGUUAAAAAGCUCGUAGUUGGAUAUCUGCUGGAAGCAAUCAGUCCGCCCUUUUAGUGAGGGUGUGUACUUGAUGAAUUCUGGCAUGAUUAUCUUCCCAGUAAUAAUAUUAUUAUAUUAGGUUGAUUCCUAAUAUGGUAAUAGUUAUUUUUGAGACGACAGUUACUUUGAGAAAAUUAGAGUGUUUGAAGCAGGCUUGUUGCCUUGAAUACUGCAGCAUGGAAUAACAAUAUAGGAUUUCGGUUCUAUUUUGUUGGUUUCUAGGACUGAAAUAAUGAUUAAUAGGGACAGUUGGGGGCAUUCGUAUUUAACUGUCAGAGGUGAAAUUCUUAGAUUUG
rnacentral:rRNA from 1 species